GACGAACGCUGGCGGCGUGCUUAACACAUGCAAGUCGAACGAAGUGGCGAACGGGUGAGUAAAGCGUAAUCAAACUGCCCUUCAGAGGGGGACAACAGUUGGAAACGACUGCUAAUACCGCAUACUGAAGUAGGGGAGUGCGUCUGAGUAGCUGGUCGGUGGGGUAACGGCCCACCAAGGCGAUGAGCAGUAGCCUGUCUGGGAGGAUGAACGGCCACCUUGGGACUGGGACACGGCCCAGACUCCUACGGGAGGCAGCAGUUGGGAAUCUUCCGCAAUGGACGAAAGUCUGACGGAGCAACGCCGCGUGAGUGAUGACGGCCUUCGGGUUGUAAAGCUCUGUUAAUCGGGACGCGGUACCGGAAUAGAAAGCCACGGCUAACUACGUGCCAGCAGCCGCGGUAAUUC
rnacentral:rRNA from 1 species